rnacentral:tRNA from 12 species
GGAGCGGUAGUUCAGUUGGUUAGAAUACCUGCCUGUCACGCAGGGGGGUCGCGGGUUCGAGUCCCGUCCGUUCCGCCA